rnacentral:rRNA from 1 species
GAUGAACGCUGGCGGCGUGCCUAAUACAUGCAAGUCGAGCGAACAGACGAGGAGCUUGCUCCUCUGACGUUAGCGGCGGACGGGUGAGUAACACGUGGAUAACCUACCUAUAAGACUGGGAUAACUUCGGGAAACCGGAGCUAAUACCGGAUAAUAUAUUGAACCGCAUGGUUCAAUAGUGAAAGACGGUUUUGCUGUCACUUAUAGAUGGAUCCGCGCCGCAUUAGCUAGUUGGUAAGGUAACGGCUUACCAAGGCAACGAUGCGUAGCCGACCUGAGAGGGUGAUCGGCCACACUGGAACUGAGGCACGGUCCAGACUCCUACGGGAGGCAGCAGUAGGGAAUCUUCCUCAAUGGGCGAAAGCCUGACGGAGCAACGCCGCGUGAGUGAUGAAGGUCUUCGGAUCGUAAAACUCUGUUAUUAGGGAAGAACAAAUGUGUAAGUAACUAUGCACGUCUUGACGGUACCUAAUCAGAAAGCCACGGCUAACUACGUG